rnacentral:rRNA from 1 species
CCUACGGGUGGCAGCAGUGAGGAAUAUUGGUCAAUGGCCGUAAGGCUGAACCAGCCAAGUCGCGUGAAGGAAGAAGGAUCUAUGGUUUGUAAACUUCUUUUAUCGGGGAAUAAAGGUCGCCACGUGUGGCUAUUUGCAUGUACCCUAUGAAUAAGCAUCGGCUAACUCCGUGCCAGCAGCCGCGGUAAUCCGGAGGAUGCGAGCGUUCUCCGGAUUUAUUGGGUUUAAAGGGUGCGUAGGUUGUUUUUUAAGUCAGCGGUGAAAGUUGGUGGCUCAACCAUAAAAUUGCCGUUGAAACUGGAUGUCUUGAGUGUGUUUGAGGUAGGCGGAAUGCGUGGUGUAGCGGUGAAAUGCAUAGAUAUCACGCAGAACUCCGAUUGCGAAGGCAGCUUACUAGGCCAUAACUGACGCUGAUGCACGAAAGCGUGGGGAUCAAACAGGAUUAGAGACCCUGGUAGUC